CUCAUGGAGUUUAGUCUUCCAAAGAACAGGAAAUAACAAGGCAGUAAUAAUUUUGGGUUUCACUCCCUAUACUUUAAAAAGCAGCAAUAUAAAGGAAUCUUUGCUGACCCACUAAAAAAGGGCUCUAAAGAUUAACAGACAAGUACACCGCAAAUGGUUUCUGCUAGCCUUUAUUUGUGAAAGUUUACACAAAAAUCUCCCAACAGAAGACAUAAAAUUAUGAAGGAUAUCACCAGAAGCUCUGUAAACAUUUCAUCUAAGGACCAAGAGAAGUUCAAGGUGUUUCACAAGGAAACCAAAGAGACAACUGAUAUGAAGGAGCUGACCGAGGUCAGAGAAAUCUUGGAGGAGAACUAGAGUGGAGGACCAAGGCGGUGAGCAAGUGGGAGAGAAAAAGCAAACAGCUCAAACCGAUCCUGUGAGGCGACCCAGGACGAAUGCUGGCUUUGGCGUUAUCUAGGUAACCCCUGUUUGUUGUUUUGUUUUGUUUUGUUUUUCCAUAGGCGACUUUAAUAAUCUUGUUGCAAACCAGUCCAAAUCCUACUGCAUUAAAAAGUCCUCUCUGACUUGCUGGGUGUGGGUGGUGCCCAUGCUCUCCCACACCAGA
rnacentral:lncRNA from 1 species